CGAUGAAGGACGUGAUAAGCUGCGAUAAGCUUCGGGGAGUUGCACGUAAACUUUGAUCCGAAGAUUUCCGAAUGAGGAAACUCACUUAGAGUAAUGUCUAAGUAUCAUUAAGUGAAUACAUAGCUUAAUGAGGGGAACUCAGGGAACUGAAACAUCUAAGUACCUGAAGGAAGAGAAAGAAAUUCGAUUCCGUAAGUAGCGGCGAGCGAACGCGGAUUAGCCCAAACCAAUAAAGUUUUCUUUAUUGGGGUUGCGGACAUAUCAUAACGAAGAGGUAUCGUAAUUGAAGAGGUUUGGAAAGACCCACCACAGAAGGUAAUAGUCCUGUAUGUUAAACGAGAAGACUUCAGAUAUGAUCCAGAGUAC
rnacentral:rRNA from 1 species